GCCCGCCGCAGCAAAUGGCGGCAGGGCCCGGAGCUGCCGCGCUACGAACCGAGCUGGGGGGAGCGGGCGACCCCCGAUGAGGCUGGAAACUGUGGUGCCUGCUGUAAUAAGAACAGCUACUCGAAGAUAAUGUCUGGAAAAUAUGGACACUAGAAGACAAGCUGCUGUGCUGAGAGGUAAGCGGCAGCGACAUGAAGGAUGGAGGACUGAACAGUUGGGAACCUGAUGUUUGACCUGCCUGAUGACUGCACCGGCUGGACCUGUAAAACACCGUUACCAGCUUCCAGGCAGCGACUGAUACUACACUAACAAGUUUUCUUCAAUAUUUUCCACUCUUUCUGCAGAACAGGACUGGAAACCAGAGACUUGGGAUGGGCACCAUCCAGUGUUGGACACCAGGUCUUCCUCUGUCUGUUCUAAAACCGUACUUGAAUCAUGAAAACACCCAAAACCAAUGAGCUUCAUGCCUGCACACCAAAGAUACAGAAAAUGACACUGCGAUGCAGCGAUGACAGGCUGGCAGGAAAUUUUGAGGGACUGGCACACCCCAGGAACAUGAAGGCAAUUAACAGGAAAUAAUGGGAACAGCAUGGAGGAAUCGCUGCGAACUGUGUCUGUCUCCAAGGCAUUCAAGUGUCAAACAAAGCCAAGGGAUUUGGUACAAUAUACUUGUUUAGCGCAUGUUCCACCUGCCCUUCAUCCCAGAAAUGGCCCUAUGAGUAAUGGAUAUGCAAAGGACUGAUCUUAGCAUCUUAACACUGAAUAAAUCUGGAGUGCAUUACACUUUCGAUUUAAAAUUGGCUCAGUGUGGGAGAAAACAACCUCCAAGCGACAGCCAGUUGCUCAUUGAGCCACACAUCCUGGGCUUGCUUUAACUCGGGGCAUUUGGAAGAAUCAAAGUAUAACUGAGAAUUCAGCACCAGAAAGAGAACGCCUCCAACCCAAAAGCUGAAGUAGUCAUCUCCCCAGUUCUUGCAGUAAU